UGGGACGUCGCCAAGCCGGUUAAGGCACAAGACUUUGACUCUUGUAUACGCGCGUUCGAGUCGCGCCGUCCCAG
rnacentral:tRNA from 1 species